UUAAUGACUUCAAGAACUUUUCCUGUAUAACAGAAAUUCUGUGUAGUAAAGUUGUUGGGAUUAAUGAAUUUGUACAUUGCCAUUUUAGAAAUGCUUGAAAUUUAGACACUGGCUUAAUGAAAAUACUUUAAUGUUGGCAUCUGGAACACAAAACAUUUAGUUUUGAUAUAGUUAUGAACUAAUCUUAUAGUUAAGUCUUUCUUGAAUGGUCUUAAAGUUGAACUUUAGGAAGUGUACACACACAUCUCUCAAAUUAAGGUAAAGGAUAUAUCUUACUAUUUCUGUAUUCCCCAAAGUACCAGCAUAUAGUAAAACCUCAAACUCUGAAAUUAAACAGAAAGCAAAAACACUAUGAUAUAACUUUAAAAUUAAGGUUUAUAUCACUUUGAGCAAAAUAUGAAAUUGCUUUUAAAAUCAGUGUGACUAGGCCAGGAGCAGUGGCUCAUGCCUGUAAUCCCAGCAUUUCGCAAGGCUGACGCGGGCAGAUCACCUGAGGUCAGGAGAUUGAGACCAGCCUGGCCAACAUGGUGAAGCGUGGUGGUGUGUGCCUGUAGUCCCAGCUACUCAGGAGGCUGAGGCUGGAGAAUUGCUUGAACCCGGGAGGCAGAGGUUGCAGUGAGCCGAGAUUGCGCCGCUGCACUCCAGCCUGGGCAACAGAGCAAGACUCUGUCUCAAAAAAAAAAAAAAAAAUGUACCUGGUACUCAAAUUAUUAUAGUAUUGCCAAGGUAAUCAUCUUUGGAAUUGAUGUAAAAGGAUUAUCCCUCUACUGGGAGUCAAACACAUUAGAUUCAACUGGAUUAACCAGAGUGCAGGAGAUACAAAGGUCAAAGAUGAAUGAGUCAUAGUUCCUAACUUUCAGAGGCUAACAGUCUAAGUAGAACAGCUAGACAAAUACAUAAGCAUCACAAAACAAUAUAAUAAAUUAAAAAAUGAAGGAGAAGAAAGGAAGGAUUGUAAGGAACCAUGAAUUUUGAAGAAAGGUGGCAUCAGGGAAAGAUUCAGGAAGCCAGAAAGUUUUGAAUUUGGUUUUACAAAGAGAAUAGUAUUUUCCCGAAUAGAAAUGAGCUGGGCAUUUCCAUCAAAAGAAGGAGUAUUAGAGGCUGGGUGUGGUGGCUCACGCCUCUAAUCUCAGCACUUUGGGAGGCCAAGACAGGCAGAUCACUUGAGGUCGGGAAUUCAAGAACAGCCUGACCAACAUGGGGAAACCCCGUUUCUACUAAAAAUACAAAAUUAGCUGGGCAUGGUGGUGCAUGCCUGUAAUCCCAGCUAUUCCAGAGGCUGAGGCAGGAGAAUCGCUUGAACCCAGCAGGUGGAGGUUGUAGCGAGCUGAGAUCACACCAUUGCACUCCAGCCUGGGCAACAAGAGCAAACCUCUGUCUC
rnacentral:lncRNA from 1 species